ensembl:ncRNA Y59C2A.4 ncRNA
AAAAUCGAAUUCUCUGCAAAAUUUCAGUCGGAAAAUUGAAAACUAGACGUUUCUAGCUCGAUUUUGAAAUUUUCUGGGUUACUGUAGCCCCGAAAGUACGCAAACACCGACUA